GCUGUAGAAGAAGUCUGUCAGUACGCGGUAUGAAAAAAAGCAGAUGCAUCAAGCUCCGGUUGGAACGCUGUUUUAAUUGUUUUGCAGCUCGAUCCUGAAAAAUAAAUGUGUCGCACAACGAAAGAGUUGGCCCAUCUUUCGAGCCGUGUAACAGUUGGAUGAAACGUUGGUACACUGAGACAAGACGUCAUCAGUGUUUGAACCUGACACUCACCUGCAGAAGUCGGGCGCCACCAUGCCGUAGACAUUGAUCCUAUCGCACAGCUCCAGGGCAAUGGUCAUCGUGAACCAGCCGGUGCUCAGCCACGAGUUCGAUAUCCUCCUGCAAGAGUGGGCGGCGGUUAGAUGGAUGCAGUUGGGUCAGCAGGCUGCCAUGUUUGAUCUGUGUCACAUGAGGUGAUGAAGUGAGAUACAUGGUCUACAUGCCGGGAGUACAGCAGAAUAAAGACCAUCUAAAUCUAGCGCUCGAUUCCACGCUGACCCGCAGAUCAAUCACGCCGCCUCACAGCUUCAUUCGAAUAUGCAUCAGUCGCACAUAUCGACUCAUACGAAUGAAAGCUGCAUGUCAAAUAAUCAACCUUAGCCUUGCUCUGCAUGCGGCAAAGAAAGAGCGUUAAUUGACGAAUGACCUGCUCGCUUUUAAGUCCCACAAAAGCUUUUAAUGCACUUUCUCCCAAACAGAAAUGAUGUUUACUUACGCUUUUGAAAAUCUCUUUUAAAAAAAGUCUUCCCUCGCUGGCAAAUGAAAGAUUGAGCAGGAUUUGGGAGGGCUUAAUGGCCAUGAAAAUCUGACUUCAGUUAAAAGCAGUGGUCUUUUCCGAGCCAAAGACCCCUAAACUGAUGGAGAGAUGGAGUGGGCACCCCCCUACUUAUUUAUCUUGUAUGAAGUUAUUUUAAAUAGUGCUG